rnacentral:sRNA from 1 species
CUCUCCUUCCACCGCCCAUCUCUGCUCCAGUGCCAGGGAGUGGGAAGAGGUGGCCUCAGACAUCCAGAUGCAGCUGCUGCACAAGACGGAGGACGGGGAGUUCUGGAUGUCCUACCAAGAUUUCCUGAACAACUUCACGCUCCUGGAGAUCUGCAACCUCACGCCUGAUGCACUCCCUGGGGACUACAAGAGCUACUGGCACACCACCUUCUACGAGGGCAGCUGGCGCAGAGGCAGCUCCGCAGGGGGCUGCAGGAACCACCCCGGCACAUUCUGGACCAACCCCCAGUUUAAGAUCUCUCUUCCUGAGGGGGAUGACCCAGAGGAUGACGCAGAGGGCAAUGUUGUGGUCUGCACCUGCCUGGUGGCCCUAAUGCAGAAGAACUGGCGGCAUGCACGGCAGCAGGGAGCCCAGCUGCAGACCAUUGGCUUUGUCCUCUACUCGGUCCCAAAAGAGGUACAGAAGAUAAAGAUGUGGGGCUUGUUCCUGGACACAUACCCACCCCACCCCUGGCUGCAAGUGGAUUGGCAAAGGGUGGAAUUUGGCGAGAGGCUCUGGGGGUCACUGGGUUAGGAUUCCAGCCCUCUUCGGGGCUGGUAGGGGUCGGGAAAGGAAGAGACCCUAUUGGAGUUGCGGGCCACUUAGGUGGUGUCCAGGCCAGGUCAGUUGGUGGUGGCACCUACCUCCAACCCUGCCCGGCCAGGCUGUUCACCCUGGGGGACCCUCCCUCCCUAACCUCCCAUGCCAGUCUUGUACCCACUUCCAGGAUGCAUAUAGUUUCAGAACAUCCAGGAUGUCCACUUGAAGAAGGAAUUCUUCAUGAAGUAUCAGGACCAUGGCUUCUCAGAGAUCUUCGCCAACUCACGGGAGGUGAGCAGCCAACUCCGGCUGCCUCCGGGGGAAUAUAUCAUUAUUCCCUCCACCUUUGAGCCACACAGAGAUGCCGACUUCCUGCUUCGGGUCUUCACCGAGAAGCACAGUGAGUCAUGGGAAUUGGAUGAAGUCAACUAUGCUGAGCAACUCCAAGAGGAAAAGGUCUCCAAGGAUGACAUGGACCAGGACUUCCUACAUUUGUUUAAGAUAGUGGCGGGAGAGGUGAGCAGGCCAUGGGCGGAGGGCUGAUGGGAGGGGGAUGAGGGGCUGGAGGGGCCCGAGUGGGGUUCACAGUUCCCCUUCCUAGGGCAAGGAGAUAGGGGUGUAUGAGCUCCAGAGGCUGCUCAACAGGAUGGCCAUCAAAUGUGAGUCUUCCGCUCCUGCUGCACAUGACCCCUCCCCCAUAUUUUGUGCCCCUCUUGAUCACUCCCAGUGCCCUCACGAUACGUCAUUUACCCUGUCUCUCCUUUCUACCCCUUCCCUUCCUCACAGUCAAAAGCUUCAAGACCAAGGGCUUUGGCCUGGAUGCUUGCCGCUGCAUGAUCAACCUCAUGGAUAAAGAUGCCUCUGGCAAGCUGGGGCUUCUAGAGUUCAAGAUCCUGUGGAAAAAACUCAAGAAAUGGACGG